UACGUAGGGGGGCAAGCGUUUGUCCGGAUUUACUGGGCGUAAAGAGCGUGUAGGCGGCCAAACAGGUCCGUUGUGAAAACUGGAGGCUCAACUUCCAGACGUCGACGGAAACCGUGUGGCUAGAGUCCGGAAGAGGAGAGUGGAAUUCCUGGUGUAGCGGUGAAAUGCGUAGAGAUCAGGAGGAACACCCGGGGCGAAGGCGGCCCUCUGGCUCGACCCUGACGCUGAGGCGCGAAAGCGUGAGGAGCGAACGGG
rnacentral:rRNA from 1 species